rnacentral:rRNA from 1 species
UACGUAGGGGGCAAGCGUUGUCCGGAUUUAUUGGGCGUAAAGAGCGUGUAGGCGCCAGACAGGUCCACUGUGAAAACUCGAGGCUCAACCUCGAGAGGUCGGUGGAAACCGUCUGGCUAGAGUCCGGAAGAGGAGAGUGGAAUUCCUGGUGUAGCGGUGAAAUGCGCAGAUAUCAGGAAGAACACCAUGGCGAAAGCAGCUCUCUGGGACGGUACUGACGCUGAGACGCGAAAGCGUGGGGAGCGAACAGG